UUAGUAAUGGCGAAUGAACAGGGAAAAGCUCAAUAUGGAAAUUGUGGCUUCUGGCCUUGAAUUGUAAUCUCAAGAUGUAUCGCUAACGGGGGCGUAGAUGUAAGCCUCUUGGAAAAGAGAAUCACUGAGGGUGAGAAUCCCGUUUGUCAUCUACAGUCUUCCGUGUACGGCAUGCGUUCUAAGAGUCACGUUCCUCGGGAUUGGAGCGCAAACUGGGUGGUAAAUUUCAUCUUAAGCUAAAUAUGGGUUCGAGACCGAUAGCAAACAAGUACCAUGAGGGAAAGAUGAAAAGGACUUUGAAAAGAGAGUUAAAAGUGCCUGAACUUGCUGAAAGGAAAGCGGAUGGAACCAGUGUUGCUUGGUGAGAUUGUUGCGUGCUAAAGUGAUUGCUUGCUGCACCAGCGUAAGCGGUGUUGUGGGUUUUGAUCUGGCCGUGCGUGAUGCUUCUUGCCUUGUGUGUCAUCGUCAGUGUGCUGGUGGGGACGCCUCUUGGGACAUGGUUGUAAGGCUGCGGCUGAGCGAAUGUGCCUUGUAGAAUACACCGUCAUACUGUUUCUUUGAUGUGAGGUCGUGCUGCCUCGCUGUCUGUGAUUGCGCCUUGGUUUCGGCCUCGGUGCUUGCCUUCCGGCAGGGCACCUUCCUGACAUAGCCAUGGUGACU
rnacentral:rRNA from 1 species